GGAGGAAUACCCAAGUGGUUGAAGGGGGCGGUUUCGAAAACCGUUAGAAGGUGCAAGCCUUGCCAGGGUUCGAAUCCCUGUUCUUCCGCCA
rnacentral:tRNA from 1 species